rnacentral:tRNA from 1 species
GGACCCGUAGCUCAACAGGAUAGAGCACCAGAUUUCUAAUCUGGGGGUUGCGCGUUCGAUCCGCGCCGGGUCCA